rnacentral:rRNA from 1 species
GACGUAGGGCGCAAGCGUUGUCCGGAUUUAUUGGGUCGUAAAGAGCUCGUAGGCGGCUUGUCGCGUCGAAUCUGUGAAAACCCGUGGCUCAACCAUGUGGUCUGCAGUCGGAUACGGGCAGGCUAGAAUUCGGUUAGGGGAGGACGUGGAAUUCCUGGUGUAGCGGUGAAAUGCGCAGAUAUCAGGAGGAACACCUGAGGUGAAGACGGGUUGCUGGGCCAAACACUGACGCUGAUGCGCGAAAGCCAGGGGAAGCAAACGGGA